rnacentral:rRNA from 1 species
GACGAACGCUGGCGGCGUGCUUAACACAUGCAAGUCGAACGGAAAGGCCCUGCUUUUGUGGGGUGCUCGAGUGGCGAACGGGUGAGUAACACGUGAGUAACCUGCCCUUGACUUUGGGAUAACUUCAGGAAGCUGGGGCUAAUACCGGAUAGGAGCUCCUGCUGCAUGGUGGGGGUUGGAAAGUUUCGGCGGUUGGGGAUGGACUCGCGGCUUAUCAGCUUGUUGGUGGGGUAGUGGCUUACCAAGGCUUUGACGGGUAGCCGGCCUGAGAGGGUGACCGGCCACAUGGGGACUGAGAUACGGCCCAGACUCCUACGGGAGGCAGCAGUGGGGAAUAUUGCACAAUGGGCGGAAGCCUGAUGCAGCAACGCCGCGUGCGGGAUGACGGCCUUCGUGUUGUAAACCGCUUUCGCCUGUGACGAAGCGUGAGUGACGGUAAUGGGUAAAGAAGCACCGGCUAACUACGUG